AACGAACGCUGGCGGCAGGCCUAACACAUGCAAGUCGAGCGCGCCCUUCGGGGUGAGCGGCGGACGGGUGAGUAACGCGUGGGAACGUGCCCUUUGCUACGGAAUAGCCCCGGGAAACUGGGAGUAAUACCGUAUGUGCCCUUCGGGGGAAAGAUUUAUCGGCAAAGGAUCGGCCCGCGUUGGAUUAGGUAGUUGGUGGGGUAAUGGCCUACCAAGCCGACGAUCCAUAGCUGGUUUGAGAGGAUGAUCAGCCACACUGGGACUGAGACACGGCCCAGACUCCUACGGGAGGCAGCAGUGGGGAAUCUUAGACAAUGGGCGCAAGCCUGAUCUAGCCAUGCCGCGUGAUCGAUGAAGGCCUUAGGGUUGUAAAGAUCUUUCGUGGGGGAAGAUAAUGACUGUACCCCAAGAAGAAGCCCCGGCUAACUCCGUGCCAGCCGCCGCAGUAAGAC
rnacentral:rRNA from 1 species